AGCACUGCUUCGUGAUUGGUCGACUCAUGCCCCUCCCCCUUCUCUCCGGGGCUUCCGCUUCCGAUUCUGACCGACGCUAGGGCCGUAACGAUGAUCGGAGACAUCCUGCUGUUCGGGACGCUGCUUAUGAACGCCGGGGCGGUGCUCAACUUUAAGCUGAAAAAGAAGGAUACACAGGGCUUUGGGGAAGAGUCCAGGGAGCCUGGCACAGGUGACAACAUCCGGGAGUUCUUGCUGAGCCUCAGGUACUUCCGAAUCUUCAUUGCCCUGUGGAACGUCUUCAUGAUGUUCUGCAUGAUCGUGUUGUUUGGCUCCUGAGCCCCAGAUACCAAACCAGGAACAUACCUCCCCAGGUGCUGAGUCUCACUUCCUCCAUUUCUGAUGACUUCAAGAAUAUUAUUUGACCAGCAAACCGGUGACCUUUCCAGAAAGCCCAAGCUUGCGAUUUUUAGAAACCAUUUAUAUCCAGGGAUCUGAAGCAGAAAGUUGGCUUUAAGUUUGAUGCAGCCUCUUUAUUGGACUGUGUUUGUGAAUAACGAAGUUCGUUGUUGCUGGAUCUGCAUCCAAGUUUCUUCCACAUCCCAGUGGCUCUGCUUGGCCACUCAGUGCAGCCAAGGUCAUCCCCAGGACUUAAAGGGUGACGUGUUACUGGUUCCCACAGAAGAGAAGUGCAGAACAAUUGGCAGGGGCAGGCAGGGGUCUCAUGAGAAAUUUUGCCUUGCCUUAAAAGCCCUCUGUUAGAGUAACUUUUGAGGCCAUUAGUUGUACAAUUUUUAGAGUGAGAGUGAUUCAUGUGGUGAUAUUGAGACUCAGUUCUGAAAGCUUAGGUUUUGGGGUCUGCUUUACAAGUUCGUAAUUUCAGGGUUGAAAAACAAUGAGCCUCAUUUGAGCAGUUUGCACAGAAGCUUCUUUGAAAGAAAAUCCUGACUUAAUUGCCAAAAUGAACUGCUGGUGGUUGGCACCUGGAUCCCACAGGUGUUUGAUUUGUUUGUUGUGUUUUUUGAAAUCCUGACUUGUAGAUAAACCUGGUGGGAGGAAAAAAUAAACAUGCAGGCUUUUAGAAUUAAAAAACAUUGAAAAUAAAGCUCAUUUCCAAAAAGGA